rnacentral:rRNA from 1 species
UACGGAGGAUCCAAGCGUUAUCCGGAUUUAUUGGGUUUAAAGGGUGCGUAGGUGGCCUGUUAAGUCAGGGGUGAAAGACGGUAGCUUAACUAUCGCAGUGCCUUUGAUACUGACGGGCUUGAAUACACUAGAGGUAGGCGGAAUGUGACAAGUAGCGGUGAAAUGCAUAGAUAUGUCACAGAACACCAAUUGCGAAGGCAGCUUACUAUGGUGUCAUUGACACUGAGGCACGAAAGCGUGGGGGAUCAAACAGG